rnacentral:rRNA from 1 species
CCUACGGGUGGCUGCAGUGGGGAAUAUUGCGCAAUGGGCGAAAGCCUGACGCAGCGACGCCGCGUGAGGGAUGAAGGUCUUCGGAUCGUAAACCCCUGUCAGCAGGGAAGAACGGUCACUGUGCUAACUAGCAGUGAAUUGACGGUACCUGCAAAGGAAGCACCGGCUAACUCCGUGCCAGCAGCCGCGGUAAUACGGAGGGGGCGAGCGUUAACCGGAAUUACUGGGCGUAAAGCGCUCGUAGGCGGUAUUUCAAGUCAAGGGUGAAAUCCCCGCGCUCAACGUGGGAACUGCCUUUGAAACUGGCAGACUGGAGUGUGUGAGAGGAUAGUGGAAUUCCAGGUGUAGGAGUGAAAUCCGUAGAUAUCUGUAGGAACAUCAGUGGCGAAGGCGACUAUCUGGCACAUAACUGACGCUGAGGAGCGAAAGCGUGGGUAGCAAACAGGAUUAGAUACCCGAGUAGUC